UACAGAGGGUGCAAACGUUGCUCGGAAUUAUUGGGCGUAAAGCGCGCGCAGGCGGUCCCUUAAGUCUGAUGUGAAAGCCCACGGCUCAACCGUGGAGGGUCAUUGGAAACUGGGGGACUUGAGUACAGAAGAGGAGAGCGGAAUUCCACGUGUAGCGGUGAAAUGCGUAGAGAUGUGGAGGAACACCAGUGGCGAAGGCGGCUUUCUGGUCUGUAACUGACGCUGAGGCGCGAAAGCGUGGGGAGCAAACAGG
rnacentral:rRNA from 1 species